AACCGUGGUAAUUCUAUGGCUAAUACAUGCGCAAAUAUCCUUUUUCGCAAGAAAGAGGAUAGUGUUUAUUAGAUACAGAACCAAUACACCAUCUGUUAACAGCAGGUGGUGUAAAAAAGGUGAUUCAUAGUAACCGAACGGAUCGCAUUAUGGUCAUUUUAUAUGGCUGGCGAUAGAUCAUUCAAGUUUCUGACCUAUCAGCUUUCGACGGUAGUGUAUUGGACUACCGUGGCAGUGACGGGUAACGGGGAAUUAGGGUUCGAUUCCGGAGAGGGAGCCUGAGAAACGGCUACCACAUCUAAGGAAGGCAGCAGGCGCGCAAAUUACCCAAUCCUGACUCAGGGAGGUAGUGACAAGAAAUAACAACACUGGAAAUUUUAUUUCUAGUGAUUGGAAUGAUGGGAAUUUAAACCCCUUUCAGAGUAACAAUUGGAGGGCAAGUCUGGUGCCAGCAGCCGCGGUAAUUCCAGCUCCAAUAGCGUAUAUUAAAGUUGUUGCAGUUAAAAAGCUCGUAGUUGGAUGUCUGCUGGAAGCAAUCAGUCCGCCCUAUUUGUAGGGUGUGCACUUGAUGAAUUCUGGCA
rnacentral:rRNA from 1 species